rnacentral:rRNA from 1 species
UGGGGAAUCUUCCGCAAUGGGCGAAAGCCUGACGGAGCAACGCCGCGUGAGUGAAGAAGGCCUUCGGGCCGUAAAGCUCUGUUGCCGGGGAAGAGUGCUAUGGGGGAACCUGUAGAGGGACGGUACCCGGCGAGGAAGCCGCGGCUAACUACGUGCCAGCAGCCGCGGUAAUACGUAGGCGGCAAGCGUUGUCCGGAAUCAUUGGGCGUAAAGGGGGCGCAGGCGGGAACAUAAGUCUUUCCUGAAAGUUCGGGGCUCAGCCCCGUGAUGGGAAGGAAACUGUGUUUCUUGAGCGCGGGAGAGGGAAGCGGGAUUCCUGGUGUAGCGGUGAAAUGCGUAGAUAUCAGGAAGAACACCAGUGGCGAAGGCGGCCUUCUGGACCGUAACUGACGCUGAGACACGAAAGCGUGGGUAGCAAACA